rnacentral:rRNA from 1 species
GAUGAACGCUGGCGGCGUGCUUAACACAUGCAAGUCGAACGGGAAACCUUUUAUUGAAGCUUCGGCAGAUUUAGCUGGUUUCUAGUGGCGGACGGGUGAGUAACGCGUGGGUAACCUGCCUUAUACAGGGGGAUAACAACCAGAAAUGGUUGCUAAUACCGCAUAAGCGCACAGGACCGCAUGGUCCGGUGUGAAAAACUCCGGUGGUAUAAGAUGGACCCGCGUUGGAUUAGCUAGUUGGCAGGGUAACGGCCUACCAAGGCGACGAUCCAUAGCCGGCCUGAGAGGGUGAACGGCCACAUUGGGACUGAGACACGGCCCAGACUCCUACGGGAGGCAGCAGUGGGGAAUACUGCACAAUGGGGGAAACCCUGAUGCAGCGACGCCGCGUGAAGGAAGAAGUAUCUCGGUAUGUAAACUUCUAUCAGCAGGGAAGAUAGUGACGGUACCUGACUAAGAAGCCCCGGCUAACUACGUG